CUCUCUCUAGAAGUGGCCGUUAGAUAUUCAUCUGUCCACAGUUAGACAAACUGUCUAUAAAUGGAGAUGAUUUAGUACUAUAGGUACUCUCACUAGAAGUGGCCGUUAGAUAUUCAUCUGUCCACAGUUAGACAAACUGUCUAUAAAUGGAGAUGAUUUAGUACUAUAGGUACUCUCACUAGAAGUGGCCGUUAGAUAUUCAUCUGUCCACAGUGAGACAAACUGUCUAUAAAUGGAGAUGAUUUAGUACUAUAGGUACUCUCUCUAGAAGUGGCCGUUAGAUAUUCAUCUGUCCACAGUGAGACAAACUGUCUAUAAAUGGAGAUGAUUUAGUACUAUAGGUACUCUCUCUAGAAGUGGCCGUUAGAUAUUCAUCUGUCCACAGUUAGACAAACUGUCUAUAAAUGGAGAUGAUUUAGUACUAUAGGUACUCUCACUAGAAGUGGCCGUUAGAUAUUCAUCUGUCCACAGUUAGACAAACUGUCUAUAAAUGGAGAUGAUUUAGUACUAUAGGUACUCUCACUAGAAGUGGCCGUUAGAUAUUCAUCUGUCCACAGUUAGACAAACUGUCUAUAAAUGGAGAUGAUUUAGUACUAUAGGUACUCUCACUAGAAGUGGCCGUUAGAUAUUCAUCUGUCCACAGUUAGACAAACUGUCUAUAAAUGGAGAUGAUUUAGUACUAUAGGUACUCUCACUAGAAGUGGCCGUUAGAUAUUCAUCUGUCCACAGUUAGACAAACUGUCUAU